rnacentral:rRNA from 1 species
GUCUGUGGCUAUACCACCCUAAAUGUGCCUGAUCUCGCCUGAUCUCAGAAGCUAAGCAGGGUCAGGCCUGGUUAGCACUUGGAUGAGCAGAAAUGGUACUCCUUUAUUCUUAGCUAAUUUUCUAGGGUUGUGUAUA